AAAAGUUAAUAGAAUAUACUCUACAUUUUAAAAAACUUAAAUUUUGAAGUUUUAAAAACGAAGUAAACUUUAUUUACCCAAAAAGGUAAAAAAUAACGAAUAAAGCUAGAAUUAGUUACAUUCACUCAUUUCGCUAAAUUUGGAUACGCCAGAGACUAUGUAUAGUAUCAAGUUGAAAAUACGUUAAUUUUAGUGGGUUAUUUUAGAUUAAGAAAGUAGAAGAAAUGAACUAGAAAAACGCAUCGAGUCAAUAUCGAGUCAAAACACAAAGCAUAUUAAAUAUAAAAAAAUGUCCAGUAUCGAUGCGGAGCUGAGAGUGUAUUGAUUUUACAAAUUUGGUCUCACAUUCUUUUGUUUUUUGUGUGUUUAAAAACGCUUAACAAAGCACAAUUAUUGUAGAAAAUAUUACAAUCAGUAAAUAUUGUCUGCCAAGAACAGCCUAAAAUAAUAAUAGAAGAAAGUUACUUUUUCAAACAAGUUUAAUAAGAUACCUAAAUCAAUUAUAUUGUGUUAAAUAAUAUUAAUAUUAUGCUAUAUAAUAUAUAACAGUUUAUAGAAAAUAUUUGUUUACACAGUUUUCGAUUUAAGCAUAUGUUUGUUCAUUUUAGUCAAGAAAAUAAAAAGUAAAUUUAUAUGGAUACAUAUAUUUCUAUCAACUUACAUAAAUACUUAAUACAUUGGUAUCUAUUGGUAAUGUUUGUACAAUCUUCAACUACUCAAUUUUUAACAGUGAAACUAAAUUGCCAAAUUUAAUAACAUGUUGAGUGCGUAUAAAAACACAUUGGUUUCACUAAAUGUCUUUGUGCAAGUGUAUAUAUGAUUGAUCAGUUAAACGAUAGUAAUAUUUAAAACAUUUUAAGGAAACUAAUAAAAAUAUAUUAAAUCUGAAUUAAAUUCCAAGUAAAAAAAAUUGCAAAUAAUAACAAAUAGAUUCAAAACCUAUUUUAUAACUGCCAAAUAGCCACGUGUGCUUUUGCUUGAUGACUUUUGAGAGUAUCUUGGCGACCAUAUGAUUUAUCACAGACUGAGCAUUUGUGUUGUACCCCACCAAUAUGUAUCCGUGCAUGUCUCUUGAGAUGAGAUUGUUGACGAAAUGUUUUUUCACAAACAACACAUUUAUAAGGUUUCUCACCGGUAUGUCUUCUUUCGUGAGUUUUGAAGUUAGAUUGUAUAUUAAAACAUUUUUUACAGACAUCGCAUUUAUAUGGUUUCUAACUGGUAUGUAUGCGUUCAUGAAUUAUGACUAUUAUAAUAUAAUAUUGACUGAAUGCUUUAUCACAGAAACGGCAUUUAAAUGGUCUCUCGCCGGUAUGAACGCGUCAAUGUCUUCUCAGGCUUGAUUUUAAUGAAAAUAGGCCAUCUUUGUUUGGAUUAUUUCUUUUGAUUUUGCAGAUACAAUGAUUGACUUUAUUUUUUUGAGGUGUUAUCGUGGGGUAUAUCGUACCCCACCAAUAUGUAUCCGUGCAUGUCUCUUGAGAUGAGAUUGUUGACGAAAUGUUUUUUCACAGACAUCGCAUUUAAACGGUUUUACGCUGACAUCGCAUUUAAACGGUUUCUCGCCGGUAUGAAUACGUGCAUGGUACUUGAGAUGAAUUUGUUGAUUGAAUGUUUUUUCACAGACAACGCAUUUAUAUGGUUUCUCACCGACAACGCAUUUAAAUAGUUUCUCGCCGGUAUGUACACGUGCAUGUCUCUUGAGACCAGAUUGUUGAAUAAAUGCUUUUUCACAGACACGGCAUUUAAAUGGUUUCUCCCCGGUAUGAACGCGCCAAUGUCUUCUCAGGCUUGAUUUUAAUAAAAACGUUUUCAAACAAAUUCCACAUUUAAAUAAGCCAUCUAUGUUUAGAGUAUUUCCUUUGAUUUUGCUGAUACGAUGAUUGACUUUAUUUUUUUGAGGUGUUUUAUUUCCAAUGGAAGUACUGGAAUGCGAUUUCGCAAUAUGCCGAAUUAUAUUAUUUUUGGUUGUAAACCUCCUUUGACAUAUAUUGCAGUCGAACCGACGUAUUUUGUACAUAUUUUUCUUAGAAUUGU